rnacentral:lncRNA from 1 species
AAAUUAAAAUUGAGAAUGGAAAUGGGGAAUGUGCCAAAGAGACAACAACCCAACCAUAGAGCAGACAACAGCAGAAGGUCACCAACCGGUCUUCAAUGCAACGAGAAAUUCUCGCACCCGGAGGCGUCCUUCAGCUGGCCCCUAAACAAAUAUAUACUGGUUCAGUGAUAAUGAACACCAUACUAAACUCCAAACUGUACACAAGAAACUAAAUGUUAAAACGAUACAAGACUAACAAAGACCAGAGGCUCCUGACUUGGGACAGGCGCAAAAAUGCGGCGGGGUUAAACAUGUUUGUGAGAUCUCAACCCUCCCCC